UAUGUUUAUUUCUAAAAAUUAGAAUAACGUAUUCUAAGUUGUUUGGUUCAUGUUUUAAGAUUUGUGUUAAAUGAUUGUAUUUUAUUUCGACUCGAAUUAUUUUGUUGGAAGUUAUCGCGAGAUUUGUGUACAUGCGUGAGGCUGCGAGAUUUGAAUAAACAUAGAAGAAGCAGAAGCCUGGAACCUAGCUACACGCAGCAGCCUCGUGUCUCCGUUAGCAGUCAAGAGUGAACAAAGACGAGUUAAUCGGUUAAAGACCUCCGAAGUGGCAGGCGGCCACGAGUUUUCACGGCAUUUAAUAAAGAGCCCGUCAAAAGGAAGCCGUGCCAGUGU